rnacentral:rRNA from 1 species
AUUGAACGCUGGCGGCAGGCCUAACACAUGCAAGUCGAACGAGUGGCGGACGGGUGAGUAAUGCCUAGGAAUGUGCCCGGUAGUGGGGGAUAACGUCCGGAAACGGGCGCUAAUACCGCAUACCAUCAGAGGUGCCGAGAUGGGAUUAGCUUGUUGGUGGGGUAAAGGCUCACCAAGGCGACGAUCCCUAGCUGGUCUGAGAGGAUGACCAGCCACACUGGAACUGAGACACGGCCCAGACUCCUACGGUAGGCAGCAGUGGGGAAUAUUGCACAAUGGGCGCAAGCCUGAUUCAGCCAUCCCGCGUGUAUGAAGAAGGCCUUCGGGUUGUAAAGUACUUUCAGCGGGGAGGCGUUACCCGCAGAAGAAGCACCGGCUAACUCCGUGCCAGCAGCCGCGGUAAUAC